CUCCACUUGCAUAGUGUAUUCAUCUUUUUCUUACCAUCUUGACUUAAUAAAUUUCUCAUGAUAUCCCCCACUCAGCUAAUCUCAGGGCCUCACUGCAUUUUGGCUUCUUAUCUAUGAUUCACAAUGGAAACGCGUAGACAAGCCUCCACAAGGUGUCCUGUUACCAUCACCUUUUUUGACUUAGGUGAUAUGACUGCAUCCCCAACACCCCAAAUUCAUUGUAAACAUGUAUAAAUGCAGCAGUUGCUUUAAUAGAAACAACAUUCACAUUAUUUGUCACCAAGAAAGAGUGCUAUCAGAAUGGCGAGCAACCUCCGCUUACUUGUGAUUUUAUUGGGUUUUUCUUACCUUAUCUGUGUGAAUGCUGUCCCAGUUGCAAGAACCAGAAGGAUGCAUGGAUAUCAUCAAGGUCAUCAAGUUUCAGAGGUUUCCUUCCUGAACAACAUGGAGAAAAUUUGGGAGGAACAAAACAUUAGAGCAAGGAUGGAUGCGGAGCUGAAUGAUUAUCCAGGAUCAGGGGCUAACAACCGCCACACUCCAACCCCCCACUAGGAAGAGGUUUAUGGAUUCUUAGUUUUUCUAGAUAGUAAUUAUGUUUCUGGGUAAUCUGGUAUCAUGUUAAGAAUGGUCAUAAACAUGAUUUUGCACCUUAGUUGUUCGUAUUUAGGAGUUUAGAGUUCAACUAUUCGUUUCCACCAUAGCUGUUUGUUAUGUUAUGGAGGAAUCCAAGAUUCCAAAUCAAAUCAUGUUUGUUUGUGUAUCCUGUCCUACAUCUACAUCCAUGAUGGGGUUCCGUGUUGUCCUGAGAUAGUUCCUGUUUGAUGCAGAACCAGCAGGAUCAGAAGCACCCCUUAUUCUACAGUGGUUAAUUUGCCAUGUAACUUUCUUGUAUGGGUAAAACCCCUUUGUUCUUGGUAUUUCUUGAUUAUGAAGUAAAUUUCAAACUUCUAGUCGGUUUUGGUUUCAAGUUUUAGAAUCCUACCUUCUAUCUUUUCUGUGAUAAGUCUUAUUUUUCUUGUGUUGCAAGUUUGCAUGCAUGCAUAUACAGCUUUCUUUCUUGGUAUGCUUUGUGGCUGUUGCAACUGCUAAAGAUGUGUUCCCACCCUUAGGAUCUGCCAUGGAUUACUCAAAAAAGAAAGGAAAACAGGGAAAGAGAAAAAAGAACUCUGCCUUAAUUGCUAAGUUUCUUGGACACGGCAAAAUUCUGGUGGCCUUUAACUAGGAAUUGCUUGUUUCUUGCUUGACUUGGCUUUGUUUUGGAAAGAGUGUGGAGAAAUAAAAUAAAGCAGUUCCUUUCCGCAGGUAGGUGUUGGACAACCAAACUAAUCUUAGUUUUUUUAAAUCUAUUGUUCAUUGACACAAGAUCCUGUUAGGUGAACCGCUUAAAAGUUUUUGUAAAUAUCUCAAACAUAGUUUAUGUUGAGUGGAGGAAGUGGAUUGUUAGGUAGCAGCAACCACUUUGUUACAAAUUUCCACUUUGGAGCCUUGGGGUCUAUUGGAAGUCCCAUGGGCCAUGGGAUGAUAAUAUUGUUUUGUUUUCUACUUUUCUAUAGCAUCUGCAGGCACCCAUCUGUUAGUAUAAGAGAAAAAAGAACUUGGGAAGCACAUUCUUUGAUGAAACACACAACAAACACCCAUUUCAAAUGCUAUUUUAAACAAGGUCUAGCAUGACUUGGAGAGGCAGAAAAUUUGGCUACACAAAUUUGAAAAAACUCACCCUAUCAAAAGAAAUUGGAAUCUGAUUUGGACACCACCGACUACAGUUUCGGUGCAUGAAGCUUUGUUUCAAGUAGGCUCUUUCAAAAGCAAAGGCUGUCCAAACGAGUUACCAAGGAAUUUUUGUGGACAUGGGUUGUAAACUUUCUCAUCCCAAAGAAUCUGAUUUGCUUGGCCUAGUAUCAUGUUAUUCAUCACAACAAAAUCCCAAAGAAGCUUUUCUUCUAUGUUAAUUCUGAUCCUCAAAACAUUUCCAACAGUGCAUGUUUGGCUUGGAAGUUACAACAGACUGCAAAUUGUUUAAAACUUUCUUGUCUUGAAGAUCUACCUGUUUUAUUGUUCUGGAGGUAUAGCACAGGUACCAUACCUCCAACAGAGUAAACCAAUUACUUGUAGCCUCAUCAUAAAAGGUUUCACAGCUGUGUCAUGACUUAAGUUCACCUUCAUGCUUGGGUGCAUGAUUUUUUUACUUUUAUCUAUUUUGACAGAAUUGUUGGGUUAUUCAGUUUGUUGGAAUGAUGGCUUCCUCCCCAAAUGCCUCAACUCAUUGAACUUAAUUCCAAUUUUAUAAACAAGGAUUGGAUUUCUCUUGAUAUGGUAAUAUACCAAUAUCGAUAACUUAAUGGUUGAAAUAGUAAAAGCGUACCUAACAUUAAUAUCAGUUUAGACCCAAAAAUUCCGAAACUUAUAGCAUAUGGUAGAUUACCAUGGCUGCUAAAGCUCAAGUUUGAUAUCUUUAUUACAAAGUUUCCUCAAUGCAGCAUACCAAAUCAAUGUUUGGUACUAAGAUGGCAGCACUCCAGGAAUUACUCAAUGAGAUAUAAUUUUUCUGCAUCAUAACCACAACUUCAAACCUUAAUGACAUGAUGAUAGAAUAGACAUGCCUGACCUUUAUGAUCUUUUGUUGGGCAUUUGCCCUGUUUUCUUUUAAAUUCUGGUAAUAGUAGAAUCCAUUGAAAGAAGUAGCAAAAUCUAGAAGGGAGAGAUGCAUGGUUUAGUUGUUUGAUUGUUAUCAAUUAUAUGUCCAUUGAAAGUGUAGUUGGUUGAGUGAGAAAGGAAAAAAGAAAAUGUCUUAAAAAAAAAAGCCUCAUUUCUCAAAAAGCAUAUCCUGGAUCAAUGUUUCUCAUAAUGCAUAAGGGAUAUGGGUGUAACAGAUUUUUCCUUUUUCCUUUUGUCUUUUUUUUUUUGGGUAAGAAGUAAACAAUCAACAUUGACAUCAGUAUCUCUAGUUUGUUAUGAUACAUGAAGUCAUUCAUUCACCAAAACUCAACUUAUAUAAUCUUGUUUUCUUCUUUCUGAAGUCGUAAGUCAUAGCCCACUUACAAAGUGGGCAACUUGACCUACUUUCUUAAUGCCAUUUGAAAGUCUAGAAGGCGGCUUAACCUACUGACUGUAAUUGGCAAUAUUUCACAAAAAUGAAUACCCUUAAAAGUUUGAUACCAAACAGAAAACACAGAAGCGGAAUUUUGUGUUUAUUUUAGUGAUGUUGAAAGGCUUCAAGUGUCUUUAUUAAUAUUGUUAGGUAAGUUCCUAUGUAGAUGUAUGGUUAGCCCAAAAGAUGGAAAUAAAUAUGGCAACCACUCCACAUACUCAAAAGGAAAAUGAAGAAUACCUUGGGAACAGGAUGCUAGUCAAUUUUAAUAAAAUCAGCUUAGGGACCCCCUCUCAUUGCUAGAAUUUAGCCUCUACUGUUUGUAAUGGUGGGGCUAUCUAAUUAAUGAAGCAAUGGGGAUAUGAAUAAGUGAGAAAACAGCUCUCUUCACCACUUCUGAGACAAUUUAAUUUUGCUGCCUUCAUUAAUGUUUUUCCUUUCACUCGUUAUAUUUUCUUUCCCUUUUUUAAGCUAAAGAACAAAAAAGGAAAACAAAGAGCUGAUUAUGCAGUGGGGCAUGGGAGAAAGGCAGAACCACCCUCAUUGCAAAUAAUCUCAUGAAUAUGUACUAUCCCCAAUUUUUUUACAGUAUUGGGUGAAAAGUAUUCAGUAGUGAUUCAUUGAAGCAGUUACUCAGCUUGAAGGGUCCUUUUCUGGGCAGAAGCAACUCCACCUAAGACUCAUGGGGGAUUGGUAUCUCUGGACUUAUCCUGUACAUCAUCUAGAGCCAUUGCAGGGAAAAGGAUGGGAAAGGAUAAAUGUCAGAAACCAAUGGUGACAAGGAAGGUGUGCUUGUAUAGGAAUAAUAUCUUUUGGCAUCUUUCUCAUUCUAUUCUUACUCAUACUACAGAGAGGAUCAUGUGAGAGGUGAUCAUCCAAAUAAGAGCUGGAAAUUACUUUGUUCUUCUAAUUCAUUAAUUUGCUGAGGAAUCUGUUAAGCAAAAGCUUGCAUAUAUUUCGAGAAGUGCAGAAGAUGCACUGCUUACAUAUUGAGCAGAAGAAGUUCAUAACACUGUAUAUGUAUGACUUUUUCUUAAUUAUGUAGAUACGUUUUAAAG